rnacentral:rRNA from 1 species
GACGAACGCUGGCGGCGUGCUUAACACAUGCAAGUUGAACGGGCGAUAUUGGAAGCUUGCUGAAGAUAUCGUUAGUAGCGGACGGGUGAGUAAUGCAUGAGGACCUGCCUUCUGGAGGGGGACAACAGUUGGAAACGGCUGCUAAUACCCCGUAUGCCGAGAGGUGAAAGGUAUGGAGACAUACCGCCUGGAGAGGGACUCAUGUCCUAUCAGCUGGUUGGUGAGGUAACGGCUCACCAAGGCGACGACGGGUAGCCGGCCUGAGAGGGCGACCGGCCACACUGGAACUGAGAGACGGUCCAGACUCCUACGGGAGGCAGCAGUGGGGAAUAUUGGGCAAUGGGGGCAACCCUGACCCAGCGACGCCGCGUGAGGGAAGAAGGCCUUCGGUCGUAAACCGCUUUUGUACGUGAAGAAGCAGAUGACGGUAGCGUACGAAUAAGUCCCGGCUAACUACGUG